rnacentral:rRNA from 1 species
CUCUGUGACUCCUACGGGAGGCAGCAGUGGGGAAUAUUGCACAAUGGGCGCAAGCCUGAUGCAGCAACGCCGUGUGAGUGAAGAAGGUUUUCGGAUCGUAAAACUCUGUCCUAAGGGAAGAAACAAAUGACGGUACCUUAGGAGGAAGCCCCGGCUAACUACGUGCCAGCAGCCGCGGUAAUACGUAGGGGGCAAGCGUUAUCCGGAAUCACUGGGCGUAAAGGGUGCGUAGGCGGCUUAGCAAGCCAGGGGUGAAAGGCAUUGGCUCAACCAAUGUAAGCCUUUGGAACUGUUAGGCUUGAGUGCAGGAGAGGUAAGUGGAAUUCCUAGUGUAGAGGUGAAAUUCGUAGAUAUUAGGAGGAACACCAGUGGCGAAGGCGACUUACUGGACUGUAACUGACGCUGAUGCACGAAAGCGUGGGUAGCGAACAGGAUUAGAUACCCUGGUAG